GGGGACGACAUGGCUUCGACGCAGGUCGCGAACCUCCAGGUGCAUGUCGAGGACGUCACUCAACCUCGUUAAUCAUGUGGCAAAAAAGAUAGUUGCCAACGACGACAACUACGCACUCGCGGCCU
rnacentral:tmRNA from 1 species